rnacentral:rRNA from 1 species
CCUACGGGAGGCAGCAGUGAGGAAUAUUGGUCAAUGGGCGCGAGCCUGAACCAGUCAAGUAGCGUGAAGGAUGACUGCCCUACGGGUUGUAAACUUCUUUUGUAAGGUAAUAAAGUGAGGCACGUGUACCUUUUUGUAUGUACUUUAUGAAUAAGGAUCGGCUAACUCCGUGCCAGCAGCCGCGGUAAUACGGAGGAUCCGAGCGUUAUCCGGGUUUUUUGGGUUUAAAGGGAGCGUAGAUGGGUUGUUAAGUCAGUGGUGAAAGUGUGCGGCUCAACCGUAAGAUGGCAAUUGAUACUGGCAGCCUUGAGUACAGGUGAGGUAGGCGGAAUUCGUGGUGUAGCGGUGAAAUGCUUAGAUAUCACGAAGAACUCCGAUUGUGAAGGCAGCUUACUAAACUGCCACUGACAUUGAUGCUCGAAAGUGUGGGUAUCAAACAGGAUUAGAUACCCGGGUAGUC